GAUGAACCAACACGCCUCGGAGCACAUUUAUAUGCAAAGGCAUAUAAUAUGUCCCCUGUAUCUAAUUAUCUGUCAACCUGAGGCAGUUUGUUUUCCAAAUCGGCCUCUCGGCUGUGACUUUACGAGGUCAUAAAGAAAACGAUGCCACUCUGCACUGAAACGCAAGGAGAGCCUGGAUCAACAAAUUAUACUCCUUAAUGGUGUCUCUCGGCCUGGAGAUUCAGGCCCGGCGGAAAGAAAGAAGCCCGGCCCUUGUUGCCUGCCCGCUGCCUUCUGCUAGAGAAAAGAGAAAGGGGCACACGGGGCACGGCUUAUUCGAGAGACUUCCUACUCUUGCUCAGCUGUCCUCGGCUCUGCAUUUCCUCCCGUGCGGCGGCUGUCUGUCUGGAAGUUGUUAGCCUGGCACCCUGCAGCGGGUGCUCCUGAGGUCUGCAGCCGCCCCUGGACUUGGCCGGUCUUGGGCCCCGGAGCAUCUUGAGCUCCUGAGAGGCCCCCCGAUCUUUGGCUCCACCGGAGAAAGCUUUGAUCCGCUCUGCACGAGACAGCUCCUGCCUGCACGGGCCCGAGAUUCUGGUCCCAUAGGAAAGUGGGCUGGAAGAUGUUUAUUCUGCCAUGCAUCCGCCAGCAGAAGGAGUGGGGACUCCUGGAAACUUCUAAGCAAGAGGAGAAAAUUCCUCCUCCCAAAGCAGGGAAGAUAUGUUCUCGGGCCCCAGGCUGCCCUGCCCAACUGAGAUGCUUCUCCUUUUCCAAUUCAACAGGUGAACUCCCAGUCAACCUUCAGAUCUCAAGUAUCACUUCCUCAGGGAAGCCUUCUCUGAUUUCCCUAAUUUGAUCAAAUGCUACUAUUUGAUGCUCUCAUAGGAUGAGGUAACACCCUUUGGCAUUUCUACAGCUCUCACCUUUACAUGACUUCUGUGAUUCUUUCAUAUAUGCUCCACGAGGGUGAAGGCGCAACUUUUCGUUUGCUUAUAUUUAUUUACUGUGACUGACACAAAAUGGCCCUCAAAUACCUUUAGAUGAAUGAGUGUUACAUUUGUAUGUGCGUUAUCUCACACCUGCCCAAAAUGCGGUCCCGGUCAUGCUGUGCAGGCCUCCAAUCUCUCCCUGUCCACUUAGUUUUCUCUGUCUUUACCCACACCUCUUCUUGCUUUGUGCUUCCACUAAGCCUUACCGGGCACAAGGAAGGAAUGUCUGUUUGAAGAGCUUAUCACUCCACGGGAGGAGAAAGCCAGAUGAAAUGGGACCAGACCUGAAAGACACUGAAGAUAACCCAGAGGGGCGGGACGACCACUCUCCCACCCCGUCGCGACUAUAUAGGGAAACCAGGAGCGCAGAGGCCGUGCUCAUUCAUUCUGUAUCUUAUUAACUCAUGACGAGAAGGCCAUCACACAAAAGGUGUUUGGUUUUAUGCGCCAAAUGCCUUUGGUUUUAUGGAGCCAGAAACCAUUCUGGAGAACGAUGGUGAAUGGGAAGUGGGCUCCGGGAAGGGGGAGGGGCAGGUGCCCCACGCACCUGUUGCACAGCUUCGCGAGGCCGAACCGCGCUUGGAGAGGCCAGACCGAUCCAGCAGACACGGAUCCAGCAGCCCUGCACUCCAGUCCCUCAGCCGCCCGGUCCUCCAAACAGGCCUGGCAGAGACCCCACGAGGCCGUCUUCUGACCGCCAUCCGCCUUUGCUGCAAACACAGGUUCUUCCAAGCUGGCCUCUCCGCAGACGGUACUCCUUAGGCUCUUUCUCAUUUCUGUCAGGAAAUAAAAUGGCCGAGAAGAUACCCUUAGACUCCUUUGCCACCAGCGCACCCCUCUGAAGGACAAGCACCAGCCUGGGAGCUGCCGCCUAGCCGGCAGAGGCUCACUCUCCAGCCCAGGACGGGGAGAGCGAGGCUCAGCGCAGCAUUGCUGUUUUCCCUUCACUGGCAGGUCACCUUGGCAGCUGGUGGCAAGCCUCAAGUUACGUUGGCCGGGCUGGUCCCAAGCAGAGCAUUUACGCAACUCAACCUCUAGAACUCCUGGUUCUGCUGAAAUUAGCAGGGUGGCUUGGGUCAAGUCACAUAAGCCUCCGGGCUUCGGUUUCCUCGUCAAUAAAUUGGAAUUUGUAAUCCCAAAUUCACAGGGUUAAUAGGACGAUUAAAUACAAGAGCACAAAGGAGAAGUCCUCCCGAGGAGGAGGGACUCAGAAGACUCGGAAGACGGUCCCCUCGAUCAGCUCCUGUUCUCUGAGUGGGUGAUCUGAAAUUUCCCGAGGUGUCUCUAAUAAGAUGGCUAUUAAAUCAUCUCUGUGUCUAUUGCUUUGCUCCAGCUGCCAUAACGACAUACCACAGACUGGGGGGCUUAACCAACAGAAAUUUAUUCCCUUGCAGCUCUGGAGGCCGGAAGUCUAAGAUCAACAUGUUGGUAGGCUUGAUUCCUUCUGACGCAUCUCUCCUGGGCUUGUAGAAGGCCACCUUCUCCCUCUGUGUAUGUGUCCCGUUCUCUCUCUUACAAGGACACCUAUCAUGCUCUUGGGGCCCGCCCCAAUGACCUCAUUUUAAUGACCUCAUUAAAGACCCUAUCUCCCAAUACAGUCACAUGCUGAGGUGCCAAGGGUUAGGAUUUCCACAUAUGAAUUUGGGAGCAAUACAGUUGAGCCCGAACCACGUCGUUCAAAACACAAAUACACGAUGCACAACUCUGAGGAUGUCUCAAAGUCAGACCAAGAGUAUGGGGACUCCCCCCCCCCGCCCCACAAAAGUUACAAUGCCUUCCUUCUGUGUCAUGAUGCUUUGUUUGCAAAGUCCCGUCUCGGUGUCUCCAUGCAGCCCCUCAACUGACAAAUGUAAAAAGCGAAAGGGGAGAAAUGAGCCGGGGACUUAGGGUCCCACAGGUGGUGGGUCUGGAACUGAGAUGUGUGUCUCUUACCUUUCUCUGCAUGUGACUGCACCUCGCCCCGGAGAGGUUUUCACCUCCAAACACACACCAAAGAGGGCAGAUGGCCCCCAGAGCAGACGUGUAAGUGCCUCGGGGCAAGCCUGCCGUGUGGCUGACCUGCUUGCCUGUCCCUGUCCCUCCGUUAGCACCACACCCCUUACGGUCCCAGCAGUGACUGCUCUCCAGCUCAGCCAUGGAGGGUGAUUGUGCGGGCCCGGAAGCUCGCCCUGAUGCUAAGCCGAAACAAACCACUUCCCUGGGUCUUGGGGCUGGCGGGGGGAGUGUUUUGUUUUCUUCUGUUUUGUUCGUAAAACACCCUUUGUACCCAGCCGUGGCCAAGACGGCCAUGGCCAAGAGGGACGCAAGGACGAUUGUGCUGCCUGGGCAAACACAGGGAGAGGACAACUCGGCCGUAAUGUCAGCGGGCAUAAGAAGCAGAGCUGUGGAAAUCCCUGACAAAGCUGGAGGGAAGAAAGGUACAGACGAGGCACCGAAGCAGCUCCAGCUACCAUACCGCUGUGCCCAGAAAUGGUUCUGGACUUAGGCCACCUGAUUCCCAGGACUACAGUCGGCUUUGUCUCAAGUCCAGUCGUAUAGGUACACAUCUCCAAGGUGGCAAUAUCUACUCUUCUCCAGAGUCCCAAAUUCCCCAAAGCUUUUUACUCGCCAGCGAGGAGAUGUGCCGGGGAGGACAAGUAUUUACUUUUGAUGGACUUCCUGUGGGUCAGGUGGCCAGCAGCAGAAAGAAGCGGGAGAGGACUCAGGUUCAAGACCAGUUCUGCCAACUGGCCGGCCCUGAAACUGGCCAGACCUCUUACCAUCAGGGUCAGCUUCACCAGAGAGGCCAAGAAGCCCCCUGAUGUAGUUUUGAAGAGCAUGACCUUUAGGGUUAGCUAGACCUUGGUUCAAAGGACUUACCAGAUAUGUGACCUUGACCCCAUUGCUUACCUUCCCUAAGUGGAUCUCCCCACUGGUUUUAAGGAAAAAAAAAAAAAGAGCUAAA